GGAUAGCUCUUAAUUGCGAUCUAUUUCACAUCUUUAAAUCGAUCUUAUAUUGUUAUCUCGGAAAAAAAAAUUCAUUGAUCUUAAAUUCGGGUAAUUCUUUUCUUUUUUUUCUUAAUUCUUUCUUCAAUUGUGCUGAUCUACACAUAUUUUCAUGGUUCCUACAACAUCAUCAUAUAGUCACAAAACCAAUUAAACUAUACCAAAAAUAUAUGUACAUAUACUUGUUUCCAUUUGAAGUGAAAUUAAGCAAAACCAUUAAAAAAAAUGUUCAGCAGCAAUGUCGGGAGAGGAAAAAAGAAAAGAAAAGUGAAUGGAGUGAAAUUGCCGUUUGCAUAAGUAAAGAACCAAUCCGAUGCUUUCCAUGUGCAUACCAAAGCAUAUCCUUACUACUCUUUUUAAAGUAAUCAAAGUCGAGACCACAAAAACUCACGAUUACACUUUAAAAAUCAAAAAAAAAAAAAAAACAAUUUAUCUCAUAUUUUACAGAUCACAAUCAUCACUAAUUGCACUAUACGCUAUGCUUUGAAUCACCUUUUUUACAUGUACUCUUCUUUUGUACAUAGACUCUCUCAUGUGCUUGUGAUUCUAAAAUAAUGCAACCUUAUGCUUUCUCUCAGGCUUUUAUAUAAUCAAAAUCUCACAUGUGGUGUUGUUGUUGUUCUUGUCCUCCACAUUACUCAGUUCCUAAAACAUAAGAGAGAAACAAUGGGAGGACUUGUGAGAAGCAUUUUCUUUAGAAACAAAUCAUUUGGUGCUCAUGACUACAACAACAAUCUAAGUGUAAGUGAUCAUCAAAGACCCAUCACUACUCUGGUUUUUAUGUGUUUAUGACAGUUUUUAUUCAAUGGUUUGUGUGAUGUUUUUUUCAGGCAAGAAGCAAUCAUCUAGGAGAGAAGAAAAGAUGGAGCUCGGUUAGAUCGUACCUUUGCGGAGAUGAGUUCAACUCUGUUCUCGCUGUUGAUGAUUCAGGAUCGAUGAAAGAUUCUGAUGCUCUUAUUACAACAAUGUCUCAGCGGCUGAGUUCAGAUUGCGGUAUGCCUUUUGGUUCGGUUAUCGCGAUUGAAGAUUCAGCUUCUGUGAAACAUUUGGAGGAUGAUGAUUUCGUCUCUGUUAAGAGCUCUGAGGCAACAGUGACUCAGCCUUUUGAGGAGGAGAAAUCAAAAGUACUGAGCCAUUAUGUUAAAGAAGAAGAUGUUGAUAACCAAAGUGAAGCAACAGAGACGCACAUACCUAAGAAGCAUCAGACUACUCCAAUCUCCAAGUUGUUCCUCGAAGAAGACGCUGCAGUCAUAAUUCAGUCAGCAUUCAGGAGCUACAUGGUUUGUUU
rnacentral:lncRNA from 1 species